rnacentral:rRNA from 1 species
UGGGGAAUUUUCCGCAAUGGGCGAAAGCCUGACGGGGCAAUGCCGCGUGGAGGUGGAAGGCCUACGGGUCGUCAACUUCUUUUCUCGGAGAAGAAACAAUGACGGUAUCUGAGGAAUAAGCAUCGGCUAACUCUGUGCCAG